CGCAAGUCGAACGAAGUAGCAAUACUUAGUGGCAGACGGGUGAGUAACAUGUAGGUAUCUUCCCUUUGGUGAGGAAUAACACGAGGAAACUUGUGCUAAUACCUCAUAAGUCUUUACGGAGAAAGCUUUAUGCGCCAUUGGAUGAGCCUGCACUUGAUUAGUUUGUUGGUGGGGUAAUAGCCUACCAAGACUAUGAUCAAUAGCUGAUUUGAGAGGAUGAUCAGCCACAUUGGGACUGAGACACGGCCCAAACUUCUACGGGAGGCAGCAGUAGGGAAUCUUGCACAAUGGGGGAAACCCUGAUGCAGCGAUGCCGCGUGAGUGAAGAAGGCCUUUGGGUUGUAAAGCUCUUUCGUCGGGGAAGAAAAUGACUGUACCCGAAUAAGAAGGUCCGGCUAACUUCGUGCCAGCAGCCGCGGUAAUACGAAGGGACCUAGCGUAGUUCGGAAUUACUGGGCUUAAAGAGUCCGUAGGCGGUUAAAAAAGUUGGUGGUGAAAUCCCAGAGCUUAACUCUGGAACUGCCAUCAAAACUUUUUAGCUAGAGUAUGAUAGAGGAAAGCAGAAUUUCUAGUGUAGAGGUGAAAUUCGUAGAUAUUAGAAAGAAUACCAAUUGCGAAGGCAGCUUUCUGGAUCAUUACUGACGCUGAGGAACGAAAGCAUGGGUAGCGAAGAGGAUUAGAUACCCUCGUAGUCCAUGCCGUAAACGAUGUGUGUUAGACGUUGGAAAUUUAUUUUCAGUGUCGCAGCGAAAGCAAUAAACACACCGCCUGGGGAGUACGACCGCAAGGUUAAAACUCAAAUGAAUUGACGGGGACCCGCACAAGUAGUGGAGCAUGUGGUUUAAUUCGAAGAUACGCGCAGAACCUUACCAACACUUGACAUGUUCGUCGCGACUUUAA
rnacentral:rRNA from 1 species